rnacentral:rRNA from 1 species
GGACUACCCGGGUAUCUAAUCCCGUUCGCUCCCCUAGCUUUCGCACCCGAGCGUCAGGUGCUUCCCAGGAUGGUGCCUUCGCCUUUGGUGUUCUUCCGGAUCUCUACGCAUUUCACCACUCCACCCGGAAUUCCCCAUCCCUCUGAAGCCCUCAAGUUGGUCCAUGUCCACAGGCCUGAUCCAGUUAAGCCGGACCCUGUCCCUGUCGAUGCGACCAACCGCCUGCGUGCGCUUUACGCCCAGUAACUCCGGACAACGCUCGCCUCCUACGUAUUACCGCGGCUGCUGGCAC